rnacentral:rRNA from 1 species
AAUCAACGCUGGCGGCGUGCCUAACACAUGCAAGUCGAACGCGAAAGUCCCGCAAGGGGCAAGUAGAGUGGCAAACGGGUGAGUAACACGUGGGUGACCUGCCUUCGAGUGGGGGAUAACGUCCCGAAAGGGACGCUAAUACCGCAUAACAUCCUGCCUUUUAAGAGGUGGACAUCAAAGCCGGGGAUCGCAAGACCUGGCGCUUGAAGAGGGGCCCGCGCCUGAUUAGCUAGUUGGUGGGGAAUGGCUCACCAAGGCAACGAUCAGUAUCCGGCCUGAGAGGGCGGACGGACACACUGGGACUGAGACACGGCCCGGACUCCUACGGGAGGCAGCAGUGGGGAAUUGUUCGCAAUGGGCGCAAGCCUGACGACGCAACGCCGCGUGGAGGAU